rnacentral:rRNA from 1 species
UACGUAGGGGCCGAGCGUUGUCCGGAGUUAUUGUGCGUAAAGCGCGCGCAGGCGGCCUCGCGCGCCCGACGUGAAAGCCCCCGGCUUAACCGGGGAGGGUCGUUGGGGACGGCGGGGCUUGUGGGCGGGAGAGGGUGGUGGAAUUCCCGGUGUAGUGGUGAAAUGCGUAGAGAUCGGGAGGAACACCCGUGGCGAAGGCGGCCACCUGGGCCGACCCUGACGCUGAGGCGCGAAGGCGUGGGGAGCGAACGGG